UGAGUUGGAAAUACAUACUGGCAGCUAGCUCUCAGCAAUUCUCACAUGGUCACCCCCAAGCUAAGCAGAACUGUGCCUGGUCAGUACCUGGAUGAGAGACCACAUGCAAAAGCUAGGUUUCUGUCAGAA
rnacentral:rRNA from 1 species